rnacentral:rRNA from 1 species
UACAGAGGUGGCAAGCGUUGUUCGGAAUUACUGGGCGUAAAGGGCGCGUAGGUGGCCUUCUUAGUCAGACGUGAAAUCCCCGGGCUUAACUCGGGAACUGCGUCUGAUACUGGAAGGCUGGAGUUCGGGAGAGGAAUGUGGAAUUCCAGGUGUAGCGGUGAAAUGCGUAGAUAUCUGGAGGAACGCCGGUGGCGAAGGCGGCAUUCUGGACCGAAACUGACGCUGAGGCGCGAAAGCCAGGGGAGCAAACGGG